UACGAAGGGGGCUAGCGUUGCUCGGAAUCACUGGGCGUAAAGCGCACGUAGGCGGAUCUUUAAGUCAGGGGUGAAAUCCUGGAGCUCAACUCCAGAACUGCCUUUGAUACUGGGGAUCUCGAGUCCGGGAGAGGGAUGCGGAAUUCCAGGUGUAGCGGUGAAAUGCGUAGAUAUCUGGAGGAACACCGGUGGCGAAGGCGGCAUCCUGGACCGGCAUUGACGCUGAGGCGCGAAAGCUAGGGGAGCGAACGGG
rnacentral:rRNA from 1 species